rnacentral:lncRNA from 1 species
AGUCAGUAUCCAUUUCAACGCCCAGGGUCUUCCUCUCUGCAUCUUCUUUCAAAAUUCCAAUUCCGUCCGCAUUAAAUCAAGUUCUUUUUGGUGAGUCUAAUCUCUUUCUCUACGCGUACUUUUUACUCCUAUGUGCUAUUUGAGCAUUUGGUGGAUUUUGAUUUAGCUUUUUUCUUUGAUGGAUCUGAACUUUGAGCUGAGUUUUUAGGAAAUUGAUGCCCAAAAAAAAAAAUAAUAAUAAUAAAUUUAGGUUAAUUAUGUAGUGUUAUCUUUUCAGACAUUCGAGCAAAUGCUGGACCUGAUUUAUUUGAAAUUGCAUUUAUGACUAUUUUCUUUUCGUGCAAUUGGAGCUGCUUUUAUAAUACGAAAUGUUUGGUGGGUUGUAGAUUAAUUGUUAUGUUGUCUAUCUUCCAAAGAUGUGCAGUUUUAGGGUUCACCGACUUCCACACUAAAGGAGAAGUAAAACUCUCUAAACUUGUAAGAUUUCUAGUGAGCACUAUGAACACAGGGUUAGUUUGUGAAAGCACCUGGACGUUACCUUUUAUACUUGGGGGUAAUGUAGGACGCAACCUCCAUAGAAAUAAAAAAUUUGCCAGUUUUAAAUUGACUGUUGCUGAACAUGGAUGAGUAUCUUCUUUCUCAAGUUCUUGGAAUCAAAAUCACACAAUAAGAUUCAUUUUCUGUUCAUUUACUAUGAUUCCAUUGACAGUAGAAUAGUUACGAAAAAGUUAGUUUGUUUGGAAUUAACUCCGUCAAUAUACUAAAAGACUCGUAUAAAGUUAUAAUAGACCAUCUGAUUUCCCUUCGUCAAAUAUAUUAUGGGUACAUGUGUUAGGUAUGCUUUUGCUAUUUGACAUAGUUUUGUAGUCUUGAGAGUUGAGAUUUGAUUUGCUUAUUGAUUUAACACUGGAACAAGGCAAAUUACCUGCCUGAAAGCUCUUGUAGCCAUUUUGCAUUGUUGGUUUACUGAAAAUCAAUGCCCUUGUACUUCACUUUAACAUGUGUGUUUCGUAAAGAAAGUAAUGAAAUUAUUCAGUUGUACAUGAAAAUAAUUUGGGCCCAAUUAAAAUGCUUUUCUCUAGGCCCUUGUUUGGGCUCCAUUUUAAUAAGGUUUUGGGAAAAAUGUAUUUUGGCAUAGUAAUUUUUUUGGAGAAUGUGUGGUUAAAAUGUGAGGAAAAGUUUUGAAUUUAUGUGUAAUAUAAUUUUAUUGAAGAAUGUGAGGUUGAAAAUGAGUUUUAAAAAGUAUUUUUGGUUUAAUGGAGCCCAAACAAGGGUUAGAUUUGGCAAGCUAGUUUGCAUUUCUGAUUAUUAACGUUCAAAAAGAAUUUGAACAUGUGAUCAAAUUAUCGCUACCCCUUUUUCUCUCAUUCUGUGGCAAGUGACCUAACUGAUUUUAACUUUUUCAUUUUCCUCAUUUUUGACAUCAAGUCUCAUGGCUGCACCUGGGAGUUCUAUGCUAUAUUCUUUUCUUCUGUUCGUUGCCACUCUCUCUCUACAAGAAAUGUAUAGAGUGAAGUUAGCAUCUUCAGAGUUAUUUACUAUUCUUGGAGGCUUUACCAGCUCUUUAAUAUUUCUCAUGUUGCUGACGGUGAGAGAAACUAUCCUUUUAAUACCCUUCAUUUCCAUGCAGAUGUACGAGCAAUUUUGUGCUAUGUGCUCUAAAUUGUAGAUAAUGUGAUGAGUGAUCAUAUUUAUUAUUGCUACAUAUUUAACCUGCUCCUGUCUCCCCCUCUUUCAGAUCUCUGAGUCCUUAGAAUUUGUUUCUCUGGUACUUGUUAAAGUGAAUUUUUUGGAACCUGCUCAAUGAUUUAUGAAUGUCAAGAUUUUUCCUUUAAUUUUUUGUUUUUAUUUUUCCUUUAAAAUGAUGGGAAAUACACCACGCGUUACAAUGAUAAGUUCAUGAACUAAAGAUACAUUUGUCUGGCUGCGAGGACGAAAGAUGUGCCUUCUAUUGUUCUAGGUGUUUGUAGAAGUUUGUGGUGGGUGAAACUAAAUAGUGGUGGACGUAGACAUUUUGAGUUAGGGAACACAAGGUUGUGAGGAAUUUUACGUUCAAAAAUUUACAUACAAAAAAGUCACACCCAUGUAUCUGAAUUUUACAUCCGAAAAUUUACAUGGUGUAUGGCUUUUUUGGAUGUAAAAAUAUCAAAAAAUUUUGACUUCAUACCCCAUGUAAAAUUUCCUAAUAAAACAAUGUAAAUUAUAUUGAAAAAUUUGCCAUGCAAAAAGAUUAAGCGUUAAUGAAAUAAUUGUAAAAUUUUAAAGAAAAGAUGGGUUAGACGUCUUUCCUUAAGAUGCACGUUUGGCAUAUCUUUAAUUAUUUUCGAUAUCCAUUUGAACCAUUCGAUAUGUCUAUAAUGCAAUUCUUAAAACAAGCUUCGAGAUGAUUUAAGCGAUUUGUGGAUUCAGCUGCCGUACGAUUGUCGAAGAAUUUUUGAAGUUAUCAUGUUAUUGAAAAUCUUGAAAUACUAGUUUGAAAUGGCCUAUUUUGACAAUUCGUAAGAUUUGCUAAGAUUGACUGUUUUGCAUGCCAUUAACAACGUGGAACUAGGUCGUGAAUAUUUCGAAAUGGUAUUAAGAAUGCAAUAUUUCGACUUCUUUUGUCAUUCCAUAAUGACCUGAGAAUUGAGACAAAAACAUAAAAAAUUUAAUGUGGUAAAAAAAAAGAAAGAAAUAAAACUUGCCCAGAAGUCGGGGAUCAUGUCUAGCCACCCUUGUCAAAACUUUGGCUUUGGUUCACCUCAUUUACUAAAACGGAAAAAUGGAAAAGAUUUCAACAUGACUCUGAAAUUCAAAAUCGGACAUUUUAAUCUCUUCUAGCUAACCAUUAAGUGUUUGCUUUUGCUUCUGCUUCUGUCUGUGUGCAUAUGUAUGUAUUAUGCAUAUAUAAAAUCAGGAUAUUUGGCAUUUCACAAAUAUGCACAUUGACACGCUAAUAUGUGUAUUUGUUCGUGAAAAAAAUUAUAAUGCUUAUAGACAUGCUAAUAAAUGUAUUUUUCCGUGAAAGAUGUUUAACUAUGUACUAUAAAAAUUAUUAAGAAACCACUUUUGCACUGGAAAAUCAUAAUUAGGUGCUUCUGUAAGAAUGAACAUAUUGGUAGAAUUGUUCACGUGAUAAACUUUCCACUGGGCAUGUUGUUAUGUGAAAGAUAUUGUUGCAAUGAACAAUGGUUGUAAGCUUCGACAUUUUUCUGCAUCUCCACAAUUAUCUUCUCUACUUUAUCAAUGUGAAUACCUAGAAGGUAUGGCACAGGUCUUAUAAACUGUUCUCAUAUGUGGUCACUACACAUAUUUCAUUUGCAAGACUGAUAUGUGUAGGGAGAUAAAUGUGGUAUUUACAUCUGACUUGUGUGUUCUGUCUCCAGUUCAUUGGAAAUUAUCAGGAAACAUGUGGUAUCAGGACUGGGUGGGGUGCUGGUAAGUGCCAUCUGGUUUUCUGUCUAAUUCUUUGCAUUGUUUACUUAAAAUGGAAGCUUAAAAAGUUUAUCACGUAUCUUUCAGAUUUUUUCGCCUUUUCCUUCUGUCCAUCAUAAGCUUCUCGAUUAUCUGAACGUUCUUCUCUAGCUCUUUCCGUUCAAUGCAAUGCAAUUAUAAAUGGACAUGUCUCUUAACUUUGCGAACUUCACAAUAUUUAUUGCCAGUCUUCAGAACGCCAGCCUCGUGAUAUCUGAUCUUGCUCUAUCUUUGGUCAUUUAUUUAGCCCAGAUUUUGGAUAAUAAUCUCCUAAGUUAGAACUUGGAAUUUAGGACUUAUGCUUAUAUGGAUGGAACGAAUCUGGAGCAUCGAAGUAAACAAGGGUUCUCUUUACAUUUUUCGUCUCCUAGUGAAUAGUGAAGUGGUUGGGGGAGGCCAGAGCUGCAUCUAUAUUCUCUGGCAUUCUUUUGGUCAAUAUGAAAAGGGGAAUGGAUGAAAGAAUUUUAAUCUAUACAUAGAUUUAUGUGAUGUUAAAGGUGAGGGUCCCGCGGCCAUCUGCCUUUUUCUUCUUUUGUUUUCAUUGUAACCAGGAACUGUAUACUGAAUUAAAUGUUACUGAAAUACUGAAUCAGAAAUCUGAGAUUCAUUCCAGGAUGUGGUUAUCAAUUUCCUUCUAGUUCCAUCUGUUAUUACUGAAAACUCACCCUCUGAAACCAAGUGUGGGAUGACCUCUCUGACGUUGGACAUGGGUUGGGGGGGGGCAAAGAGGUAAAAUGAUGCCAUUUAUUGUAACCAAAGACAAGCUCUAGCUUAUCAAACUAAUGAGGGUGAUUACAUAAAUUACAACUUUGAUUUCUCUCUUUCCCUGAAUUUUUCAUUAGAAACUACUCUUUGUUUCUCAUUUCUCUCGGGAACUAUGGCGUCAGCUUGUGCAUAUGACAUUGCAUCUUUAGCCAUGUGCUUAGCUUGAAUGCAACCAAAAGGUUUUGCUGAAAGUAAACAAUGGAGGGUUCACGUGCAUAAGCUCCCGUUUGGCCCUCAUUAAAAUAAUAAUUUAUUUUUCUCUCUUCUUAUCAAUAACACAUUCUCCAAUAAAAUAAUAUUACAUGAAAAUCCAAGACUUUUUCUUCUUUUUUAACCACGUAUUUUUCAAAAAAGUACUACUCCAAAAUUUAUAAUCUCAAAUAAUGGAGGACAAACGGGGGCUAAAUCUGGCUAAAAACUGCAAGAUUGUUCUAUUAAAUAAGUGUAAUAGUGGGUUUCUUUUAGCAAGAUUAAAUUAAUGAAUUGGUAUGUGAGAAUUAUUCCGUAAACUUAUGGUCAUCUUUUUGUGAUGCAGUUAUAUUUGCAGAAGCAGUUGCGCUUAUAGCUGCUAGCACUGUUCAUCGAGUUUGUAUCACAACAUGGUAAUGCAAUCAUGCUUCUGAUCUUUACUUGAUCGUCAUUGUAUUUUUAUAUUUUGAAUAAGAAGUCCAAUUUUAGUUGUGUAUUUAAUUUGAGUUCAUAAAGUAGGAGGCAUUAUAGAAUACAAUUUCAACUGAACUGGUUCCUUGUAGUUUCACAUGAACAGUAGAAAGUAUAAGUAGUGCGGCCAAAGGAGUCCUUACUGGUUGAUCUCCAUUUUGGUUAAAUUGAAAGUAUCCCUGAGCUCAGACUUUUGUUGACUACUAGGUUCUUUAGAUAUAUGUUCAAGCUAUACCUACACGAAUAAAAUCAUAUUCAACUCUAUGUGAUGUGCUUUUAUCUGCUGUCCAAGCCCCUACCUUUAAAAGACUUUGAAUAGAAGAAGGCUUACCAAAAAUUAGGGUAGAGUUGUGCAGUCAAGUUUGUAGUUAGAGAAGAGUCAUGAAUGCAUCUUUGUCCUGCACUAAUGAAUAUGGAAUUCCAAUCCAUUUUGAGCCACCUCAUCCAUAUGCGUGUUCUUACUAUUUAUAACUUUCAAAAUAAAACCACGUUUCUCUGUGGGAGUCAUCAUCGCUUUUGGGGUGGCUUCCACUUCUCUGAAGGGAACGAUCUCUCAUAUUCCAGGGAGCAGCCUAACUAUUGGUCUAUCAACUGGCCAUGAGAUAUUGAUAUAUGUAACAAACUGCUUCAAUGGCAUCUUGGGAUUGACCAUGAAUUUUGAUUUUAUGUAAUAAGCUAAAAUUCUUACACCUUCUCAAGUCAUAGUCUAUUAUGUUGUUAUUGCCUUGAAAAAUACUGAUGAAAGAACUUAAAUGCUAUAACAAAUUAUUUGCUGUGGAAUUUUUUUUUUCACUCUGAUUAAGUGCUUUUUGGAUACCAAUGCAGCUUUCUGUUUUCUGCGGGGCUAUUAUAUGAGAUCAACAAACUUUCGGGAAUGAUGCUUUCCAAAAGUGAAUCCAAAAGUAAAAGGUAUUGAGUUGAAAUUGUUGCCUUGGAGGAACUGCUUCCUUCAAGAACUCUCUUGGGGCUUUUUGUUAGAUACUUGCAUAAGCGAGAUGCACUGGUUAGUGGAAUAGACUGAGAAGUUUGAAUAUGGAUGGUUAAAUUUUGUGGUUAUUAGAUGCUAAGGGGCCUUAUUAAUAUAUAGAUAUAACCUCAUUUGUGCAACUGCAAUGGUAAGAAUUAAAUGAACAUAUGAGGCGUCUUAUUUAUUUUUCAAUUUUUAUGUUAUACUUCUAUGAGACUUAUUUACAUCGUUCUUAUAUACUUUUUACUUUUCAACUUUAGUUCGACUUCACUUCCUGGUGAAGAAAAUAUAAACAUUGAUAUAAUGUCAAAAAAUUUGAUGAGGCCCGGAAGGGCCAUCACAA